rnacentral:misc_RNA from 1 species
UUUCCGUAGGUGAACCUGCGGAAGGAUCAUUAUCCAUCUUCAACCAGGUGCGGUCGCGGCCUCCAGGCAACUGGGUGGUUUCGCGCCGCAUUCCUGCAUCCUUUUUUUACGAGCACCUUUCGUUCUCCUUCGGCGGGGCGACCCGCCGCUGGAACCUCAUCACGAACCUUUUUUGCAUCUAGCAUUACCUGUUCUGAUAAAUAUAAUCGUUACAACUUUCAACAAUGGAUCUCUUGGCUCUGGCAUCGAUGAAGAACGCAGC